GCCUGGCUAGCUCAAUCGGUAGAGCGUGAGACUCUUAAAACAGGCAUCUCAAGGUUGUGGGUUCGACCCCCACGUUAGGCU
rnacentral:tRNA from 1 species